rnacentral:rRNA from 1 species
GAUGAACGCUGGCUACAGGCUUAACACAUGCAAGUCGAGGGGAAACGCCGGGGAAGCUUGCUUCCCCGGGCGUCGACCGGCGCACGGGUGAGUAACGCGUAUCCAACCUGCCUCUGACUGAGGGAUAACCCGUCGAAAGUCGGCCUAAUACCUCAUGGUAUCGUCUGCGGGCAUCCAACGACGAUUAAAGAUUUCAUCGGUCAGGGAUGGGGAUGCGUCUGAUUAGCUUGUUGGCGGGGUAACGGCCCACCAAGGCUACGAUCAGUAGGGGUUCUGAGAGGAAGGUCCCCCACAUUGGAACUGAGACACGGUCCAAACUCCUACGGGAGGCAGCAGUGAGGAAUAUUGGUCAAUGGGCGAGAGCCUGAACCAGCCAAGUAGCGUGCAGGAAGACGGCCCUAUGGGUUGUAAACUGCUUUUAUGCGGGGAUAAAGUGAGGGACGUGUCCCUCAUUGCAGGUACCGCACGAAUAAGGACCGGCUAAUUCCGUG